GUCAAUUAUUCCUGCAUUUUUAUGUUUAUUCAUGUGCACUUGUAUUGGCAAACAAAACACAGGGAAGAUAUUAAGUUGAUAAAUUGCUGAGAUGAACAUGCACAUAUUUUUCAGUAUUAUAAGCAGAAUAUCAACAUUAUAUCCUCAAAAUCAUGUUGCUGGUUUGUUGCAUAUUUGUCUCUAGUUCAAUAUGUAGGUAAAUGGGCAGACUGGCAAGUGGCAGCGUCGCAGUGAGUAGUUUGUGUUCUUAUUAGGGUAGAAGACUCGAAGUAGGUUAGAUUAUCUUUUUUAGAGAUACAUAAAUUAUUAUGCUAAGUGCCCUCACUCGGAAGACAUGAAUUUCAAAUUUCUGUCCUGUUCUGACAGUCAUCCCAUCCUGCCGCAAAUCCACUCUGCUGCAUCGUUUUCCACCCUAGUCCUCUACCCACCUUCAAUGCCUGAAUCUUCAUGUGCACACAUAAAUUGGAUUUUGCAGAGUUUAAUGUUCUUAUGAUACUUUCUGUUUAGGAUAACAGAGAAUUAUCUUGUAAUACAUUUUUCAUUCCAUUAUGUUUCAUUACUCUGUUAUGGUCUGCUACAUGUACAUUUAGUAUUGAGUUUGAAUCAAUAUUAUUAUAUUUGAACACAUGUAUUUGUGUGUCAGAUACUCAGAUGUCAGUUCUCCCCAUUUAAGUCCUUCCGCCUUACAAAUAUGACAGUAUUUCACUUGUUAGUUUGAAGUUCUGGCCAACACAUGUUGCCAGUAUCCACUCAAUAUUUUAUUGCGAAACAACUGGGGCUAGCUGCUUGCUCAGAUUUUUGUUAAUCAUUCACUUCUUGUACAGCGAUCUUAUGGCCAUGUUUGGCAUAACGUAAUCAAAGUUGUAAUGUAAUCGUAAUUACAUUACAUAUUUGAUUAUAUUAUUUGAUAGCACAAAAAAUUUUGAUGUAAUGAAAUAAUAAUUAUAUAAU
rnacentral:misc_RNA from 1 species